AGUGGCUCUUAUGCGAGUGAGCGCCGCGCGUCAGCGGCACCGACAGUGGCAACAACCGCGGUGACAAGUGUCUCGUCGGCGGGGCGACUCCUCCUCGCCUCAUCCCCGGACGGCGAUCGCCGGAGGAGAAUGAUACCGCGAUCGACGUCAGCGGUCGUCGUCGCCGUCCGCGAGUCACGCGCGCGACUCCGUCGCGAUCGGCGUUGAGCCGUGCGACGAUCGACGAUUGGCGGUCGAGAACCGCGAGGACGACGAUUCCUCGCGAAUCCGCGACGGCAGGACAGCACGAUCAUCACGGCGGACCACCGGCUGCGGCGGAAGCUCAGGGAAGAUGAGAGGCGUCCGCGACGGCGGCAUGGCGAGUUUCCUCGCCCUCAUUCUCCUCUGCUUAUUCCACGCAUCGUACCCGGUGAACGGGUUACUGAGGUGUUAUUGUGACAUUUGUGAAGAAGGCAAUUACACAUGCGAAACUGAUGGCUAUUGUUUCGCCAGUACGAGCUUGGAAAAUGGCGUCAUCACGUAUGCUCGGAGGUGUUACGAUAAGACGAACUUCUUUCCGGACACCGAGUACUCGGUCUGGUGCACCACGAACAGUACGCUACGCGGUCCAGAUGGCAUCGAAUUCGUGAUCGCCUGUUGUGAUCAUUCCGACUACUGCAAUCGCGAUCUAAGGCCCUCCUUUCCCAUUCACGAGUCCAGAGGUCGGCCGUAUUCUCGCUUCGCGAGCCACCUCGAAGGAGUGUCGUCGAGCGGUGACGAUGCGACGUGGGUCACCUGGAAAAUGGCCUUGACGAUAGCACUGCCAAUAUGCGCGAUCUGCGUGAUCGUUAUGGUCAUCUAUCACAUACACAUGACCAAAAAGAGACCGGCCAGACACUUCCCGGACGAUUCGAUGGAGGCUCCGGACCGGCCGAUCCUGGGCGGCGUUACCAUCAGGGACAUGUUAGAGAUGACUACGAGCGGUAGCGGCUCGGUAGGCCUGCCGCUUCUGGUACAACGGAGCAUAGCGCGCCAGAUUCAGCUCGUGGAGACGAUUGGAAAAGGUCGCUUCGGCGAGGUUUGGCGCGGUCGUUGGCGCGGCGAAAACGUCGCUGUGAAAAUCUUUAGUUCGCGGGAGGAGAGAUCCUGGUUUCGGGAAGCGGAGAUCUAUCAGACGGUGAUGUUGAGGCAUGACAACAUUUUAGGUUUUAUCGCUGCCGAUAAUAAAGAUAACGGUACGUGGACACAAUUGUGGCUGAUAACGGAUUAUCACGAGAAGGGUUCGCUCUUCGAUUACCUCAACAGAUCAACCGUCGAUACGAAUGGUAUGAUAAGGAUGGCCUUGUCGAUCGCUACCGGCUUGGCGCAUCUUCACAUGGAAAUAGUCGGCACGCAAGGCAAGCCGGCAAUCGCUCACCGGGACCUGAAGUCAAAAAAUAUCCUUGUGAAGACUAAUGGUACCUGCGCCAUAGGCGAUCUUGGAUUAGCCGUCAGGCACGACGUAAUCACGGAUACCGUCGACAUUCAACUCAAUCACAGAGUCGGCACAAAGCGAUACAUGGCGCCUGAGGUUCUUGAAGAGACGAUAAACAUGAGACACUUCGACUCGUUCAAGAGGGCCGAUGUGUACGCGCUCGGCCUGAUCCUUUGGGAGAUCGCUAGGCGUUGUAAUGUCGGUGGGAUUCACGAUGAGUAUCAGUUGCCCUUUUACGAUUUGGUGCCUUCCGAUCCAACUAUCGAGGAAAUGCGGAAAGUUGUGUGUAUGGACCGACAACGGCCAUCAAUACCAAAUCGAUGGCAGUCAAUCGAAGCAUUGCAGGUAAUGUCGAAGGUAAUGAAGGAAUGUUGGUACCAUAACGCUGCCGCCAGACUGACCGCACUCAGGAUCAAGAAAUCGCUUGCUAAUUAUGGCGCAAUGGAGGACCUGAAGUAGAUUAAGCUUUCACCGGAAAGCUCUUCGACAGAAGAGUUACUAAAAAAUCGAUUGGUAAGAUGAGACAAAAGCAACGAUCGCACGAUUUGACAAUGGAGUGACUUGAUACAUGCUCGUCGCGGAUCGCAAUCUAAAAGACUGAGAAUCUAAUGUUCGAUUAAUAUUCGAUUAAUAGAUAAUGAUUAAUUAAGAUUAAAAUCAGAGACAUUCACUUUUAUUUUUUUAUCUGUAAAUUAAUCAUGAUUCUAAUACUAACAUUUAGGAUAAUUUUGUUUAUAUGCUCUUUAAUUUGAAAUUAAAAGUCAAUUUUUUUCCGAUUAUUUUUUAUUGACAAAAUAAUACUGCUGAUUCCUCGAUGUUCUGAAUUUAAUUUACAUUUAUUGAUAUUAGACGAAUCUACAUUAUUGAAAUGAAAAUCUUUAAUUUUUUAUCACUAUUAUAAUCUUACCCUUUUUUUCGCACUUGUUUUAUUUUUUUUUAUAUCUUGCCAUCUCUUUCGAAAUCAAUUUAAUAAUUUCGUGUUCCAUAUUUUCAAUCAUUGCGGAAAUAGAAGUAAGACUGAACUGUUUUAAAAGUAGUUAGGUUCUAUAUAUUUCCUAACUUUUUUUUUAAGUACGAGGUCUCGAGGGCAAAGGUUUAUAUUCUUGAAAAAUUUUUAAACUUGCUCCUUAUUCUAAGCUUCAUAUUAGACUUUACAAACAGAAGUUUAUACGUAAAGAAUGUUUUUUUUUUAAUUCGGCUACAAACCGGAAGCAUAAUAGUGACCGACGAUAUGCGUGUACAUCUUGCGAGUUUAAACGAACUGUCACUCUGAAAACGGAGUCUCUUUGCUCGCUCUCAUACAUUCCUGUUAUGACAUAUAGAUUAAUGUAUCAUACGUAACGAUAGUCCGUGCAUUGGUGAAAUAUGGUAGUGACGUUUUUCACAUACUGUGCUCUCGAUGUGCACAGAUUUGUCGAUGAAACGCCGCAAGCUUGACCGAUAUAUCCCUCGCAGCUGUUUCCAUAUACUGCUAGUACAACUCUUUGUGCCAAUACCUGACCGAGUAUUAACUAAAACGAGAGAAAGAAAGAAAAGAAUAAUAUAUGUUUUAUUUUCACAGCGAACUGCAUUCGCUCUUAAAUAAGGAAAAAUAUCUUCGAUAUAGACGCAUGUUAAACGCUUCAGGCUUAAGGAUUAAAUAUCACAGAAGAUAAAUCCCUGCAGGAUACAAUUUUUUUUUUUUUAAAUUCAAACGCAUAUUUAGCAGAAAAUACACAUCUAACAUAUAAAGAAUAUUUAAAAACUAAUUUGAAUCAUAAUAUUAAUUCGAGUCACUACACUCGAAGCUUAUUCAAAAAGAUAUUUUUCCUCUUUACACACAUUCAUAUCCAGCUAUAGUUCCGGGCGACAAUAUCAAUGUCACUCCUGAUCUCUUCUUAUUAUAACUAAUUGUACUAUCUAUAUUGCAACUGGGUCGAACCGUCGAACAGUCUGACUUAUAUCCGACAAAUGCCGAACUGCCAAAUGAUAUUUCAUCCUCUUUUCCGCUCCUUACUGUUUAAACCUUCUUUCCCUCUCCUCCCAUAUACACUUGUACAAAAGAGUAACAAUAAAUUAGAAGAGAUCAUUGCACACGCGACAAUUAAUGUGCGUAUCGAUUCCGCUAGAAGGAAAGAAACUUCGUACCUUUAAGACGAUUCACCGUCUAUUUUGUUUUACGCUUUAGAUACCAGUGUUUAUAAUGAUUACCAGUGAGAAAAGGAGAAAUUUGUUAUCGGAGAAAGUCGCAUUGUUUUGAUACUUUAUAUUAAGUGUAUUGUAGAUAUUUUAUAUAUUAGGUGCAUGUGUAUAUACAUUUUAGAGGGAAAAGAGCUAUAUUAAGUAUAUUAGAGAUAUCCUAUUUUAUAUAUAUAUGGUAGAAAAAAAUCGGAGAGUUACAAAAUCGAUAUAAAUACUAUGCUAAUUGCUUUACUUUUGUCUUGUUUGCUGUAAUCCGGCUGUAUUUAUAAAAUCUAUCUUGCUUCGCAAAUGUUUUUAUUUUUUACAAAUAAGGAAAUUAGAUGUAUAAAACAUAGUAUUUGUCAAUAUGUUAACACUAGCUUUUGCCACAUUUUAUUGCUAUUUAUAAUUUAUAAAAAGGGUGUUUAUUGUACUUUAUAAUGAAGAAAAGAAAUUUUAUUUCUUUUAUUUGUAAAAAGAUUUUUAUUUUGAUAGAUAAAAAUUAUACGGUAAUUAGUCUAAUGAGAAAUUAUUGAGUCUUAUAAUUAAAAAAUGAUUAUUUGUAAUCAUUCAAUCAGAACAAUGCGAUUUUUUAAUCGAUGACAUUAUAUAUUAUACGAAUAAUCAUUACUUAUUGCUGAAGAUUUAUAGACCAAAAAUAUUUUUUAUUUGGUGUAGAAGAAAUGUUGCAAAUUUGAAACGAUUAUUAUAAGACCUUUAAAGAAACAAUUUUUAUUCUAUAUAUUUUUUUAUAUCAUUAAACAAAUGUGUUUAAUCAUAAUUACGAUAUUUUAUUUGUAAUUUAUUUUGUUUUAUUAAUUUUUGUAUUGUUUUUAUAGCGUUAUUUGCAUUCAAAAAAUCAGUUUAUAUAACUUUAUUAAAUUAUACAUAUAAUUUUGAGUAUUUGUUUAAUCAGGUAAAAAUAUAGUUACAUUAUAUGUGAAAUUUUAAUGUCAACAAAUAUGAAAAGGUUGUUAUAACUGCUGAUUUAUUGUUUCCCUUCAUUUUGAAUAUUAAUUUAAAUUGUGACUUAUUAUUUCGCUGGUCUUUCGCAUUAUUUGAUGCAAAUAAAAAUUAAAAUACAAAACACGGGAAAAUUUUUAGAUUAAAUUGCUUAUAUUAAUAAUUAAUUCUUUAUUUCUUUUGAAUUACGUUAUUAAUUUCAAUAGAAAAUGCAUGCACACACACACACACACACACACACACACACACACACACACACACACACACAAACAAACAAACACACACACAUCUCCUCUCUUUUUCUCCCUUCACACAUACACAUGUAUAAAAUAUUAAUAUUAUUAUCGAUGAUUUAUUAAUCAUUAUUAUUAUAUCAUUUUUAUUCUCUGUGUUUUUCAUUUUAUUGUAUAAUACUCUGUACAUAAUGAUGUAAAUGUUUAUCGAUAAUUUACAUAUAAUGAUAGAAUGAGCACUUGUAAUUUUCGUAAUAACGGGUGGGUGAGUUGGUGAAUGGUAUAGUUUUUUCUGUAAUUAUUCGUAAUGUUUGUAAGUAUAUCGCGUCUUUUUUAUUUUUUCCAUCUUUAAAUAUCCAGCCUUUAAAUAUCCCGUGAUUAAUAUACAAUUGUGUCAUAGAAGGUUGUUGCUGUAAAAAGUUGAUCUUGGAAUAGAAAAAAGUUGCGAAAUAUUGCCAGCUCAUGUUAUAAUAGAAAUAAAGAUAUAACAAGUCAAAAAGUUUCACCGUUAAUACAAAGCAAGAUUUAUCAUGGGAUGAAAACUAUAACGAGCCGAGUUGAAAUAUCGGAUAUCAGAAAGUAUAUUGAUUGUAAUAAAAAUAAAAUAUAUAAAAGCAAAUUACAAGAUUGUAACGAAAAACGAGAAUAUGGAGAGCAGCAACUCUUUCUAUGAUAUUUUUUGACAGAACGUUUCUCGAUUGGGUACACAUUCGAAAGACUGAAAUACUUACUCUUCUCGAAGUAAAAUGAUCUAUAGUCUUAAUACAAGUCACGAACAUGCGAAAGCACCGAUGAUCCCAUGAGUUACCGUUUUCUAUAAUUAUCGCAAUAUCGUAUCUCGCAUGUCUCGUGACUCGAAUACGCAAUCGGCUCUAUCGAGAUCAUUCUACGUUUCUUCGUUAAUAAUGAACGAACAGUACGUCGUUCUGCGACUUUUUACGACGUAUUCAUUUUUCAUUAGGAUCGAAUUUUCUACGAUUUAUAAAAUAAAAAACCGGUGACUUGUUUAAUCAAUUAAUUAAUUGCUGCCGCUGUAUAAAGCGUGCCUGGCGGUGUGGAUGAAUCUUAAUAUUGUUAAUAGAUAUACGUACCUAAUGUUAUUAAUUAUUAUUAAUUUCUGAUUUGUAUUUGGGAACGCGAGAUUGUUGGAGCCCAACGUACGAGAUGAGAUUUAACGAUAUUUUAUCGUACAACAUUUUUCUAAUCAUUCAACGCAAGACAAAUUUGAUAAAAUAGAUUUAACGAUUUUACAGGUGCAUGAUUAGAAAUAAAAAUUCUCAUACGUUUUGGGUUUCACAAAUCUGGCCUUUCUAAACGGAUCCUACUAAUAAACGCCAUAGUGGUCCGAAAAUAAAAAAUUAGCUCGAAUAAAUUAAAUUUACUUUAAUGUA